rnacentral:piRNA from 1 species
UGUGCAAAAGUUGCCCAGGUGGUACU